rnacentral:tRNA from 1 species
GGGGAUAUAGCUCAGUAGGUAGAGUGCUUGCCUCACAUGCAAGAGCCCCUGGGUUCAACCCCCAGCACCACA